rnacentral:misc_RNA from 1 species
UUUGAUCCUUGAAUUGAAGCAAAUUAUGCUAUUUACACGUUUUCAUCCAAAAGAUCGCCAUUUAGUUUUCAGUAUUGUCUUUUUCCUGUGUAAUACAGCAGUAUGUGGCGGUAAUGACACAUUCAACCGAGGAAACCGAGAACUUCAAACAAAACCGCAAACGAUAAGAAUCCAUGCUCAGUACAUGGAGAUAGAACUGAAUUCAGUAGAGACGGGACGGCUAGAAGAUGCCUUAGAGAGAGUGAUUAACAGGGUGUCGUCCAUCUUUAAAGUUAUUCCUGUCAAAAGUCCUUUGGUAUUGAAAAGAAAAGGAGGAUGUUUUAAACAGUGGACUACAGGUAGAAACAAGAAUAGAUGCCGAUUCUAUGACAGAAAAUAUCCUGCCAUUGGAGAAGAAUGUAACAAGGAGUUUAAGGUUCCAAGUUCUCACCUAUCUGAGCUUUCAGUGUGGGGUGAGACAGAAGAAGAGCCCCUGGAUGUCAGGUACCCCCAGGGAGAGGGUGUGAGGGACACAGAUUUUGUGCUUUAUGUCAGAGCAGUUAGCUCAUUUGCUUGUACCCAGGAGCUUUCCCCAUUGGCAUAUGCUACAUACUGCUACCAGGAUGAGAGGGGACGACCCAUGGCGGGGUACAUCAAUGUCUGCCCCCAGAACAUGUCCAGUUACAGCACAGACAGGCUCAGAAUGAUAUUACUUCAUGAAGUACUACAUGUAAUGGGAUUCACACGACAUCUAUUUGAGGAUUUCAGACAAUGCUCUUUAACAGAUGAAUUGUCUAGCAUGUGUAAUGACUCUGAUAUCAGAAGAAGCCCGGUCCAGAUUGUGAAUGGACUUCCACGCCUCCUAACUCCAGCGGUACAACGAGAGGCAAAGCAACAUUUUAACUGUCAAGAUGUUAAAUUUGGACCAGCCUUGCAAAAGGAGGGAGGUAUUCUAUCUCAUUGGAACAGAUACCAGAUGUAUGGAUCCAUUAUGACACCCAACCCUGGCCCACCUCAUUUGACCUUCCUUGACCGGAUGACCUUGGCUGUUUUUGAGGACAGUGGGUGGUACACCGUGGAUUACAGCCAAGCGGAGGACUUCCUGUGGGGCAAAGAUGAAGGAUGUAAAUUUGAUUUAACCACAUCACCAGGGCACACCUGCAUUCUUGGAGAGCAUGGCUGUCAUUCCCUUCACAGAGAUAGGGCAGUUUGUAAGCAGCUUUCUGUUGAGGGAGAGCACUCUGUUUUUGUCUCAGAACCAGGGAUGGAGUGUUCUAAGGGAGACAACUCUAUGGCUGCAUCAAGUCUAGAAAUAUUUUCCAGACAGAGUCUGUGUUUUAUGUCCAACCUUACAGCUCAGAACACUUCACAGAGACCGGCAGGUCAGUGCUUCUCUCACCAGUGUCAGGAUGGCACACUGUACGUCAAACUAAGGAACACAGGGUGGAUGGAAUGCCCUUACGGAGAAUUCAUCCAGGUGUUGUUUUAUGUCCAGGCAAAAGAGACAUAAUCUGCUUGGACAAAGAAAACAUUUCAACUGUGUCCUCAUCAUCUGUUGGACAAAGACAUUCAUCAGACAGCUCAAAGACAACAACCAGCUUUAUAAUUUAUUCAUCAAGAGCACAUGAAUUCUUUACUAAUGUUUAUAUUUUAUACUGCAGUUAUUUUGUACUCCUUUUGAAAUAAAUCAUCCACUG